UUUUACUUUACUGCUAGUCAAUUAAAAAAAAAACUGUGUCACAAAUUAUAGUAACAUGGCAUGUAAAGACAUGCACUAAUGGAGCCCACAUGCAAGGAUGCUCUCUCAAGAUUGUAAAUUCUUAUAUAGGGAUGAAAAGAAUACAUUAUAUAACUAUAAGGUAGAACUAACAAUCUUUAUUACUAAACUGAGAGUGAGGAUGCUUGCCUGUAAGCCCAGAACAGGGGAGGUAGAGGCAGGAGGACCAGGAAUUCUCUGUCAUCCUCAGCUAGAGAGGAAAUUCCAGACCAAGGCCUGGGGAGACCCUGUCUAAAAAUUAAAAUAAAACAAAGAAAGGAAAAAGUCUAAACAGCAGCAGCAGCAGCAGCAACAAUAACAGCAAAAUUCAUUGUCCUUUUUUGAUGCUUCCUUGCCCCAGAGGCUUCAGGACAAUGUGCUCAUGGGUCUGUGGUGCUAUAGGUAAAGACCAUCAUUGCAAUAGACCAUUCCAUUUUUACCAAAACAAACAAACAAGCACACAAACUUCAUUGUUACCGAAAACCAUACUCUAUUCAUACUAGUGCCAUUUGGCAUUCUCAGCAGGCCAGCACAUGGUUAAGGGGAGGUAAUACUAUAUAAGGGGACAUGAAAGUCAAUGCCGGCUCACCUUAGAGCUCUGUCCUCCAUAGCUGUGCUUCUCAGCAUGAAGGUUAACAUGGGAAUGGUUGUGUUCAUAGGCCUGAGCCCGGAGCAUGGCUCAGGAGAGUCAGCUUGAAUUCGGAUCCUUAGAGGCUUCCUUCCCUGAGUGCAACAUGAAGUUCGAUAGUGGGUCACAGGCAAGUGCAGCGUGGUCAGCUCUCCUGGGUAGGUCCAGGACCUGCGUGCCUCCAGGAGGAGGCUCCGUCUCAGCGUGGUAGCUGGAAACCCGGCUGAAUCAGUUUUCACAGUGAUCUGGAAGAGUCCUUGGUUUGGAUGUCUCCUGCUGUCUAUAGUCUCUCUUCUUCCUUUCACAGAUCUGACCACUUCUUCUCCCUUCACACACUCUGAGAACGCAUUCUAGGAUCUGUCUGUGUCACCAAGAUCUAGGAGAAUCCUCUCAGCCAUUAGCUCCUUGAAGCACUUCUGGGGCCUGUGCAGGAGGAGGUGGGCUCCAGUCUCUCGGCUGCAUUAACUUCUGGUUAAGAGAACGUGAAGACGUGCUCAUUGCUCCGCAUGAGCCCAUUUCUCAUCUCCAGGCUGACUUCAGGCUGAGAGGGAAUUUCAUGGCACUGUUAGCUGCCUCAGGGCCGC
rnacentral:lncRNA from 1 species